CGCCUGAGCCAUAUCUCGCUGCAGUUCUCGCCUGGUCUCCCACUGAAGCGAAGCAGAGUUGAGGCUGGCCAGUACCUGGAUGAGAGACCUCCAGGGAAAAUCAUGGUUACGUAUGUAA
rnacentral:rRNA from 1 species